GUAUUGUAUGAAAGGAGAGAAGGUUAGCGCUCCCCUUGACAAGGAUGAAACAGUCAUGCAGGCCUCACAACACCCAUUCGGUUAAGGCAUUACCAUCUGCUUCGCAGCAUCUGACUGACGUCUUUU
rnacentral:ncRNA from 1 species